rnacentral:sRNA from 1 species
CUGCGGUUUCUCCGCGCCGUCCGCGCCCACCUGACGACUGCUCGCUACGUUUGUUCG